rnacentral:misc_RNA from 1 species
GAUGAAGAACGUAGCGAAAUGCGAUAAGUAAUGUGAAUUGCAGAAUUCAGUGAAUCAUCGAAUCUUUGAACGCACAUUGUGCCCGCUAGUAUUCUGGCGGGCAUGUCUGUUCGAGCGUCAUUUCAACCAUCAAGCCCUGUUUAGGCUUGUGUUGGGGCCCUGCGGUUGCCGCAGCCCCUUAAAUGCAGUGGCGGGCUCGUUGUCACUCCGAGCGCAGUAGCGUAUCUCGCUCUGGGCGUGGCGGCGGGUGCUAGCCGUGAAACACCCACUAAGGUUGACCUCGGAUCAGGUAGGAAUACCCGCUGAACUUAAGCAUAUCAAUAAGCGGAGGA